UAGAUAUAAUACCUGAGCCACGACAGACUUAUUUUUAUGACAUCUUCAUCUUGCUUCGUGACUUUUUCAACAUCCCCAACGCAGCUGAAUGCUCUCAGAUGCCCGUUAUAGCCCUUCAUUCCAGGUUGUUCUGAUCUGGUCACUCACUGCUGUUCUUGAGAUUGUGUUAAUUUCCUUCGAUGAAUAUACUGCUAUAGUUUUAAAUCCGAAUUUUUGACGCAUUAUUAUACGUUACAAGUUUCGUAAGUUUCCUUAACUCUCAAUAAUAAUAAUCUGCGGCUUUGUCGUUCCAGGUUCUACCCUCAGACGCCACACGAAUUUGCACUGACGAGAGUAACAGUAAGUAAGCCGCCAUGGUGGUGCGUUAUAGCUCAUACGGUUAUCUGCGCGUUGAUUUCACCGUUGCCAUUACUGCUUUUGUCAUAUGUAGUGGGCUCAAAACUGUAUGUAUAAAAGGGAAGAGACGGCACCCGAAAACAUUUUAUUUUAUUUUAUUUUUUCGUGCUUUGCUCGGUUGCUGCGGAACAGUUCAUAAUUGACCGACGUGUGAAUGCUGUUCAACAGCAGAUCCUGUAGGGGCCGCUGGAGGUGAUAAGGAAAGUUAAAGAAAUAGAAGUCACCGCCAGACCCGGCUAAAUGCUAAGUCGCGUUUGGUCUCCUUAUCGCUUUGCAGCUUGGUGCAUGCGGUGUUUUCUGGAUCCUCUCUGAAGAUCAGCAACCGCAGCUACGGACGCAGAUGUACGGCUAGCCAGAGCAACCCUGCCAAGGAGAACGGGACACGUCGCGUCCAGUUGCUGGGACUGGACCCACAGCUCCGUGCAUCCCCAUCCCAGUAUAUCUUCUACUCUCUGAGCCCUGGUCUGCUUAUUUUGCAGUUUGACCCUCUGGUUCAUCCCCCCGUGCUUGACUCUCCACGUUGCUCAACCAGCACAACCCAGGGACCUUUCUCCAUCUCUGCAAGGUGGACACUUUUAUCUUUGCUCACAUUUACUCUCUGAGCUGAAGUUUCCAGCAAACAUGCUGCCAUUUCCUUUAAACCCAAAAUAUAUUGUAAUUUUUUUAAAGCAAGGAUUCAUUGAGAUGACACUUGGAUCCAAAGGCAGCAACCCUAAUCACUACAGCAUAAGCUGCCCA
rnacentral:lncRNA from 1 species